UUGAGGCUGCGACAUUUGUCUCAAACGGCCGAUUUCGGAUAAUUGCAGCUAAAACUUGGUUUAUAAGAAGGUUUUGGGUAAAAUUAGGAGAAGAAACUGAUCUUGAUGAGAACAUAUUAUCAUAAAGCCGCGAAUUGUAAGAAGAGCUUUAGUAGGAGUAAUUGUUAAAACUGCAUAUAGCUGGAAGUUGAAUGGCUUGAGAACUGAAUGAAAACUGAAACGGAACCUCUAAGAGGGGGAGUGAAGUUG
rnacentral:lncRNA from 1 species